CGCCUGGAUAACAGCCUGCUCCAUACUCCGGAAGACAGGGGGAAGUGCUAACGCAAGAGUGCACAAAGCAAAGUUAAUGUGGUUGCGGUGCUGUUGCCUUUGCGUGUCCUUCCACACGACAUACACAAGUGUUGAUGGAAUAGUCCCUUUAUUGGUAAAAGUUGCCAGCUGCUGCCUGGGUGUGUAUACUGCCUAUGGCUCUUGAAUUACGUGCGGAAACUUCAUAAUGAAACCCGAAAAUCACAGAAGCAUAAACACAGCUGCUUAUGCCUAUAAAGUUUCAGCCCUUGGGAUCAGAACACACACACACAAAAUAUCUCCGGUGAAAUGAAAAAGGAACCAGAAAGACCCUGUGUCAGGACAAGAACGUGUGGCUUCUGCUGUUGGAUUUGGGACUCAAGGCAUGGAACUGGUACAAGGACCAUUUCCAGGACGUCUAGAAAUAAGCACAAUUGAAUCGCCCUUUCUUUGCUGAUUUGAAAUGUCACG